CACACACACACACAGCACCCCAGACACACACUGCACCCCCAGAAACACACAGCACCCCAGACACACACACUGCACCCCCAGACACACACAGCCAACUCACACACAGCACCCCAGACACACACUGCACCCCCAGAAACACACAGCACCACAGACACACACACUGCACCCCCAGACACACACAGCCAACUCACACACAGCACCCCAGACACAC